AUGAAGCCGGCGGUUGAAGGCGACGAGCGUGCGGCGGAGAUCGCCCGCAUCAAGGCCGCCGCGGCCGCCGCCAAAAAGUCGGCGGAAGAGGUGGUGGAUGUGGAUGAUGAGGGUGAGGACGACGAGGGAGAUGAAGAGGAGGAGGCGGUUGAUGGCGACGACGACGACGACGAAGUCGACGACGAUGGGGAAGAUGACGAUGACGAGGGGGUGGAGGGUGAGGAGAAGGGGUCGGCGCCGCAGCAGGUGGUCGACAUCUCCGACGAGGACGACGGCGGCGGCGACGAAGAGGAGGGUGGUGACGAUGACGACGACGACGACGACGACGAUGAUGACGAGGAGGACGACGACGAAGUCGACGAGGAGGAGGAGCCUGAGGAGGAGCUAGGAACUGAAUAUCUGGUGCAGCCGCUUGGCCGUGCUGAAGACGAAGAGCAUUCCAGUGACUUUGAGCCAGAAGAAAAUGGUGAUGGUGCUGAGGACGAGGAGAUUGAGGAUGAUGAUGCUGAGGAUGGUGAGGAUUCUGUCAAGGCGCAAUCCUCUUCGAAGAGGAAGAGGUCUGGCGCGGAGGAUGAAGAUGAUGAUGACGGUGAUGAUGAUGGUGAUGAUGAUGAGAAGCCUCCAUCAAAGCGAUAG
rnacentral:rRNA from 1 species